AACGAACGCUGGCGGCAUGCCUAACACAUGCAAGUCGAACGAAGCCUUCGGGCUUAGUGGCGCACGGGUGCGUAACGCGUGGGAAUCUGCCCUUUGGUUCGGAAUAACAGUUGGAAACGACUGCUAAUACCGGAUGAUGACGAAAGUCCAAAGAUUUAUCGCCAGAGGAUGAGCCCGCGUAGGAUUAGCUAGUUGGUGUGGUAAAGGCGCACCAAGGCGACGAUCCUUAGCUGGUCUGAGAAGAUGAUCAGCCACACUGGGACUGAGACACGGCCCAGACUCCUACGGGAGGCAGCAGUGGGGAAUAUUGGACAAUGGGCGAAAGCCUGAUCCAGCAAUGCCGCGUGAGUGAUGAAGGCCCUAGGGUUGUAAAGCUCUUUUACCCGGGAUGAUAAUGACAGUACCAGGAGAAUAAGCCCCGGCUAACUCCGUGCCAGCCGCCGCCGUAA
rnacentral:rRNA from 1 species